ensembl:snoRNA
ACCUUCUUUUGCAUAAGCACUGUGCUAAAAUUGCAGAAACUAAGAUCACAUCUUGGGUUUUGUAAUGAUGCUAGGCAAAGUACAUUCAAGAGGAAAAGGAACUGCCCCAGAGUGUAAAGACUGGGAUGAGUCUCUCAAUGUCCAGUGUUCUUUGUCUUAAGGUGUGAUGCACUACGU